rnacentral:rRNA from 1 species
CCUACGGGAGGCAGCAGUGAGGAAUAUUGGUCAAUGGGCUUACGCCUGAACCAGCCAAGUCGCGUGAGGGAAGACUGCCCUAUGGGUUGUAAACCUCUUUUGUCAGGGAGCAACGCCGGCUACGUGUAGCCGGACUGAGAGUACCUGCAGAAAAAGCCUCGGCUAACUCCGUGCCAGCAGCCGCGGUAAUACGGAGGAUGCGAGCGUUAUCCGGAUUUAUUGGGUUUAAAGGGUGCGUAGGCGGAAUGCCAAGUCAGCGGUAAAAUCGCGGGGCUCAACCUCGCUCCGCCGUUGAACCUGGCGUGCUUGAGUGGGCGAGAAGUAUGCGGAAUGCGUGGUGUAGCGGUGAAAUGCAUAGAUAUCACGCAGAACUCCGAUUGCGAAGGCAGCAUACCGGCGCCCAACUGACGCUGAAGCACGAAAGCGUGGGUAUCGAACAGGAUUAGAUACCCCAGUAGUC